rnacentral:rRNA from 1 species
GACGAACGCUGGCGGCGUGCUUAACACAUGCAAGUCGAGCGGUAAGGCCCCUUCGGGGGUACACGAGCGGCGAACGGGUGAGUAACACGUGGGUGACCUGCCCUCAGCUCUGGGAUAAGCCUGGGAAACUGGGUCUAAUACCGGAUAUGACUCCAUGACGCAUGUCGUGGGGUGGAAAGCCUUGUGCGGCUGGGGGAUGGGCCCGCGGCCUAUCAGCUUGUUGGUGGGGUGAUGGCCUACCAAGGCGACGACGGGUAGCCGGCCUGAGAGGGCGACCGGCCACACUGGGACUGAGACACGGCCCAGACUCCUACGGGAGGCAGCAGUGGGGAAUCUUGCGCAAUGGGCGAAAGCCUGACGCAGCGACGCCGCGUGAGGGAUGACGGCCUCGG